UGCUGUAGAAGUGAUGAGCUCUUCAUGUCUCUUCUCUGAUUAAAAUUGAGGAAGACUAAACACCUCUGAUCUCAGCA
rnacentral:snoRNA from 1 species